rnacentral:lncRNA from 1 species
AAAGAUGUUAAUUGUUAGAAUGGACGUGGACAUAUAUGGGGUGGAAUUGUUCGGUUUUCUUUGUCUAAGAGUAGGCCCAAUUGAUCAUAUUUUGAUUGGAGGUGGUGUAAAGGUGGUGCCUUUUGUUCUUGCAGCAGUUCAUACAUUAAUAACAAUGGUUGUGCAAAGACAAAUUUGAGUUAAGCCCUAGUGGUCCUAGGGUUGCUCAUAGGUUUUAACUUUAUUUCUCCCAGGGUCUAUAAUCUUUUUUAAAUACAUA